CACGUAGGGGGCAAGCGUUGUCCGGAAUUACUGGGCGUAAAGGGCGUGUAGGCGGUUGAUUAAGUUAGAGGUGAAAGCCCAGGGCUUAACCUUGGGAUUGCCUCUAAAACUGAUUAACUUGAGUGCAGGAGAGGGAAGUAGAAUUCCUAGUGUAGCGGUGAAAUGCGUAGAUAUUAGGAGGAAUACUCGUGGCGAAGGCGGCUUCCUGGCCUGUAACUGACGCUGAGGCGCGAAAGCGUGGGUAGCGAAC
rnacentral:rRNA from 1 species